rnacentral:rRNA from 1 species
AACGAACGCUGGCGACAUGCCUAACACAUGCAAGUCGAACGAGGCCUUCGGGUCUAGUGGCGCACGGGUGCGUAACGCGUGGGAACCUGCCCUUAGGUUCGGAAUAACUCCCCGAAAGGGGUGCUAAUACCGGAUAAUGUCUUCGGACCAAAGAUUUAUCGCCUUUGGAUGGGCCCGCGUUGGAUUAGCUAGUUGGUAGGGUAAAAGCCUACCAAGGCGACGAUCCAUAGCUGGUCUGAGAGGAUGAUCAGCCACACUGGGACUGAGACACGGCCCAGACUCCUACGGGAGGCAGCAGUGGGGAAUAUUGGACAAUGGGCGAAAGCCUGAUCCAGCAAUGCCGCGUGAGUGAUGAAGGCCUUAGGGUUGUAAAGCUCUUUUACCCGGGAUGAUAAUGACAGUACCGGGAGAAUAAGCUCCGGCUAACUCCGUG